UGUUCAUUGGUGACUCAUAGUACUGAUCGAAUCGCAUGGCUUUAUCGCUGGCGAUAGUUCAUUCAAAUUUCUGCCCUAUCAGCUUUCGACGGUAGUGUAGUGGACUACCGUGGCGUUAACGGGUGACCGGAGAAUCUAAGGGUUCGAUUCCGGAGAGGGAGCCUGAGAAACGGCUACCACAUCCAAGGAAGGCAGCAGGCGCGCAAAUUACCCAAUCCUGACACAGGGAGGUCAGUCGACCAAGAAAUCAACAAUACCGGGCCUUUCCAGGUCUCGGUCAAUCUCGGACAUCGAGUACAAAUCUUAAAAAUCUCUCAACUCAGGAUCCAUCUUGGGCAACGCGGGCCAAAUGGUUCCUUGGGUUG
rnacentral:rRNA from 1 species